rnacentral:rRNA from 1 species
GGACUGCAGCCUGCAACCCGGCUGCACGAAGCCGGAAUCGCUAGUAAUCGCGGAUCAGAAUGCCGCGGUGAAUACGUUCCCGGGUCUUGUACACACCGCCCGUCACACCAUGGGAGUCGGAUAUGCCCGAAGCCAGUGACCCAACCGUAAGGAGGGAGCUGUCGAAGGUGGAGCCGAUAACUGGGGUGAAGUCGUAACAAGGUACC